GUUUGUACUCUAUACUGUCGUCAUGGCCCAUGGAAUAUUAUAGGAACCCAAAGGGAAAUAAAUGACAAUCUAGAAACCUCAAGAUGCAUAUCUUACCCCAGAUAACAAACAUUUUCUUUGAAGAGCAUAUCAUCCAUUACCUACUGUGCCAUUUGUAUUGCACUACAGCCAAGCUAAGAUCUGAAACUGAAAAGAUUUGGCAUGGGUUCCAGAUCCUCAAAGUUCUACAGCUGCACCAUCGAGAGCAUCCUGACCGGUUACGUCACCGCCUGGUAUGGAAACUGCUCGGCAUCCGACCGUAAGCUGCCAAAAGUAGUUUCACUGCCUAGUCUCCACCCAGGCCUGGCAGGACUCCCUGGCAUCAACCUGACACCUUGGGAGAAUUGGGCCUUUGGGCCUAGCGUGUGAAAGCAGAGGAGGUGUUGAUGGUCUGAUGUAACUGCCCUACAUCCAAGGGUACUCUACAGACAGUCGGCUUUCAGGGGUUAGUUUUAGCUUGGUCCCAGAUCUGUUUCUGCUCUCUUCUCAAACCUUAUGGAAUUCUCAUGUGAAGUUUGGCAUGACAAUGACAAUGGAGUAGGCAAAAGCAGAAACAGAUCUGGGACCAGGCUAAGCUAGUAUAGUAAAGUAGUGUUGCAGUGACAGAUGAUGAUGAGGAAUAUCAUAAUAUCCUCAUGGUUGACCGUAAGCUGUUGUCCACUUUGUUCUGAUUAGUGUACAUGUAUUGGAUUGUUGUGUUGUCAAGAUAAUAUUACAGAACACCUACUGUAUGAGACUGAUAGCAGCAACUUAUUCAGUAACGCAAAACAAUCACCCAAUUAAGGAACAAAACUGCACCCAUCUAUGACAAUACAUUGCUGAUCAAAUCAGGUUCUAUCCUCUUAUCUAAAAUGUAGGCUAGAUUUCUGUUCCAGGGUCUUUUUUUCAGUAGCUGGUGAACCGUCAGACAGCACAAAAGAUCCCCUCGACACUUUCCCUUUCUCCGCUACAAUAACACGUCUCACUCCGAACAUCAGACAGAUGGGUGAGGCAGGAGAUGCGUCAAACUAACAGCACUAUGCUAUUUAUACAAACACAGGCUGAACUAUUAUCACUGUUAUUUGGAGUGGAGUGGAAUGAGUUGUCAUCAUAAGCAUGGUAUGUUAAUUAAGUAUCCUCCCCUUUUUUUCAAUUUCACCAAAAAUGACAUACCCAAAUCUAACUGGCUGUAGCUCUGGUAAUGAGAAAGGAUAUGCAUAUUCUUGAUACCAUUUGAAAGGAAACACUUUGACAUUUGUGGAAAUGUGAAAUGAAUGUAGGAGA
ensembl:lncRNA